AACAUGGAAUCUAUUUGUUAAAUAGAUCGAGUCAGAUUAUGAGGAUCUUCGAACGAUCGAAACACGCGUGUCUUGUCAGUAGCUGUGCAUUUUUAAAAAUCGAGAGAGUCAGAUAACAAAUGAAAUUAAUCUCGAGCAUGGAUUAGAAAUUGGAGAACCCUGUUACUUCAGCACUGUUUUCUGAGAUCCUGAGAUGGAAGAGAGGAAUUUAAGGCCCCGUACACACCACGCUGGAGAAAUUUCAAAACGAAAAUUUUACUCUGAAAACGCAUCAGAUGUUUCUUGUCUACACCACGCCGGAGAAAUUUGAAAACGCAAACUCCUUUUUUUUUUUUGCAUACACUAACUGACGCAAAGCCAGCAGGCGUUUUGAAAUAAAUCUGGCUUGAAGAGCGUUUUCGAAAAGCUCCGUUUUGAAAUUCGGUGGGCAAUUUCUCCGGACUAUUGUUGACGGUAAGCCUAACCGUAGAAAUAAAUCAGCGUUUUCAAAUUUCGUCGGUGUAGUGUGGACCUAACACAUAAAAGAAGGCGUCGCCUAUUUUACUUCAGAAUUUCGCAGUUAUCUACAUCUAUUCAGUGUGUCUGUGGGUAACAAACAAUUGCCCUUGCUCAAUAUCCUACGAGCACUUUCAGUUACAAAUGAAAUACAAAAAAUUAGCCGAAGUAGAUAUAGGACACCGAUAAAUCCAAUGAACCAAUGAAAACACCUAAUAAAUAGAUGUAGCCAACGUGAAGCGUGGGAGCGUGUGGGAGCGAGUUGUACUGGGUCGAAAAAUGGCGUGAGUUGUGAAGCGUAACAAUGCAAAACCCAUUACCUUUCGACACUCAAGUGAAAGCCGUUCAAAGUAAAAAUAAAGGAAUCAACUGAUUACUCAUCGAUCACUUAUUGAUUACUCAUUGAAGUCAUUGAUAUCAUCGAUAAGUCACAUUUGGAAAGAAUAAUCUAUGGUUUCUUAAUUGAGAAACUGUUUUCUGCUGCGCUGACGGACGAAGUGGGAAAUUCUUGUGUCAACUUGUUCAUUGGUGUGAAUCACUUAGAACGCUGAUCUUUAGGGGACCAAUAUUCAUCCCUGGUAAAUCACAAACUUCCGAAUCACGAUGAAACUCAUUCCUGGUUGCGGCCUUUUCUUCCUGCUACUGUCAGUGUUAGUCACUAAGGAGACUGAGGCCCUCGGACCCUUUGUACUUUUUAGGCUGCGUCAGUUAGCUGUUCGGCAAGGUUGGAAACUGAGGGAAAUGUCCUUUUACUCCAAGUGCAACACAGAGGAUGUACCCCCCGGGAUGAAAUGUCCAAAAAAUGUCUUUGGAAUUGGUACGAACCAGGGCCAAGCCAAGUUUACGGCGAAACUUUACGCAACUAUGUUCGGGUACAAAGAAUGUGACGAAUACGUUGGGGAGUGUAAUACCUUUAAAUUUAUGAAAGGACCUAGAUUACCUCAAAAAGUAGGAAAGUAAUUUAAAAGUUCUAAGACAACCAAUGACAAUAAUAGUGAUAAUAUAUAAUGAUAAACCUUUAAUUUUGAAACCGUGCCAUAGAAAAUACAGCCAAUCAGAAUACAGGAAAGCCGUUGUAUAUUCGACGGUACUACAUCCAACCUUCCCAUCAUGCGCCGCGCCUGUGUCGCAUUGAUUGUAUUGCCCACUGUGUUUUCUAUGGCAUGGGAUAAAAUAACUAUUUAAUGCUCUCCUGUGGUAUAAUAUGGAAUAUCCCACUUGUCACUAGUAUUUUCUUGGUAUACACACUGGCCGAAAGGCUCGUGUGAAUACCAAGAAAACGCAAGUGAUUCGUGGGGUAUUCCAUGUUAUACCACUCGAAAAUGUUGCAUACCUAGUACACAUAGAACUUAUACAUCACUGAUCUAAGCGCUUUACAGGGAUAAAAAGCAUAGAAUAUUCAAAUGAUACUUUAAGACGAAAAUUAAAACUACCUAAAAUUAAUGCUGGCUGAAUUACUGAUUAUUAAUGUCAAUUGAACUUAAUAUAUACAUAGAUUAAAACUACUACGAAAUUAAAACUAAUUAAAAGUAAAACUGAUACUUGAUGAAUUAGAACUUUGAAUAUGCCUUAGCAAAAUACGUGGCAACCAGGACGGGGGAGGCUUUUUGACAAGGUGUGAUGAGCGUCUUUGCCGUGCGCAAACUUGUAGUAACGUGUUUGAGUCACGGUCCUUUGUAAUCAAACUAUACUAGUCAAGUGAGGAGUUAAUUAAGAAUAAAGAAGAUUGAAAAUGGAAAUUUUGUUCGCAGUUGUGCUGUAUUUUUAAAGUAGGAAAUUAUA